CCUACGGGUGGCUGCAGUCGAGAAUCAUUCACAAUGGGGGAAACCCUGAUGGUGCGACGCCGCGUGGGGGAAUGAAGGUCUUCGGAUUGUAAACCCCUGUCAUGUGGGAGCAAAUUAAAAAGAUAGUACCACAAGAGGAAGAGACGGCUAACUCUGUGCCAGCAGCCGCGGUAAUACAGAGGUCUCAAGCGUUGUUCGGAAUCACUGGGCGUAAAGCGUGCGUAGGCUGUUUCGUAAGUCGUGUGUGAAAGGCGCGGGCUCAACCGGCGGACGGCACAUGAUACUGGGAGACUAGAGUAAGGGAGGGGGAAGCGGAAUUCGCGGUGUAGCAGUGAAAUGCGUAGAUAUCGAGAGGAACACUCGUGGCGAAGGCGGGUUCCUGGACAUUAACUGACGCUGAGGCGCGAAGGCCAGGGGAGCGAAAGGGAUUAGAUACCCCUGUAGUC
rnacentral:rRNA from 1 species